rnacentral:rRNA from 1 species
AAUACAUGCUAAAAACCUCGACUUCGGAAGGGGUGUAUUUAUUAGAUAAAAAACCAAUGCCCUUCGGGGCUCCUUGGUGAUUCAUAAUAACUUAACGAAUCGCAUGGCCUUGUGCCGGCGAUGGUUCAUUCAAAUUUCUGCCCUAUCAACUUUCGAUGGUAUGGUCUUGGCUUACCAUGGUUUCAACGGGUAACGGGGAAUUAGGGUUCUAUUCCGGAGAGGGAGCCUGAGAAACGGCUACCACAUCCAAGGAAGGCAGCAGGCGCGCAAAUUACCCAAUCCCGACACGGGGAGGUAGUGACAAUAAAUACUGAUACAGGGCUCUUUUGGGUCUUGUAAUUGGAAUGAGUACAAUUUAAAUCCCUUAACGAGGAACAAUUGGAGGGCAAGUCUGGUGCCAGCAGCCGCGGUAAUUCCAGCUCCAAUAGCGUAUAUUAAAGUUGUUGCAGUUAAAAAGCUCGUAGUUGAACCUUGGGCCUGGUUGGCCGGUCCGCCUCACCGCGUGCACUGGUCCGACCGGGCCUUUCCUUCUGAGGAGCCGCAUGCCCUUCACUGGGUGUGUCGGGGAAUCAGGACUUUUACUUUGAAAAAAUUAGAGUGUUCAAAGCAGGCCUAUGCUCGAAUACAUUAGCAUGGAAUAAUAGAAUAGGACGUGUGGUUCUAUUUUGUUGGUUUCUAGGACCGCCGUAAUGAUUAAUAGGGACAGUCGGGGAUAUCAGUAUUCAAUUGUCAGAGGUGAAAUUCUUGGAUUUAUUGAAGACUAACUACUGCGAAAGCAUUUAUCAAGGAUGUUUUCAUUAAUCAGUGAACGAAAGUUAGGGGAUCGAAGACGAUCAGAUACCGUCGUAGUCUUAACCAUAAACUAUGCCGACUAGGGAUCGGGCGAUGUU